UUGGUUAUUGGGAUGCCCUUCUGGUGGGUAGAAGUCUUAUUUAAUAAUAAUUUUUCUCAGUACUGGAUUUAAUACCAAAUUGCCGCGGAUUCAGUAAUGGAAGAACAAACAGGAAAUCUCGAUGGUACGGCAAAUCAUUCCAAUGUUCUUCAACGUACAUAUUCAGUUGUCGACUGUCCUUUGAUCUUUCCAACCAGAACGCAGCUGAAAUAUUAAAACAGAUUCAACAUAACACAGUUAAUAGAGAAAAGCGAUUUUUUUCAUCAAAAGAACAAGAAAAAGAAUUUCAA